rnacentral:rRNA from 1 species
UUGGAGGGCAAGUCUGGUGCCAGCAGCCGCGGUAAUUCCAGCUCCAAUAGCGUAUAUUAAAGUUGUUGCAGUUAAAAAGCUCGUAGUUGAAUUUCGGGAUUAGUACGUUGGUCGUGCCUUGGUACGUACUGGUGUUACUGGUUCCUGCCUUCUGACGAACCAUCAUGUCAUUAAUUUGGUGUGGUGGGGAAUCAGGACUGUUACUUUGAAAAAAUUAGAGUGUUUAAAGCAGGCUCGCGCUUGAAUACAUUAGCAUGGAAUAAUGAAAUAGGACGUUGAUCCUAUUUUGUUGGUUUCCAGGAUUGACGUAAUGAUUAAUAGGGAUAGUUGGGGGCAUUAGUAUUCAAUUGUCAGAGGUGAAAUUCUUGGAUUUAUUGAAGACUAACUACUGCGAAAGCAUUUGCCAAGGAUGUUUUCAUUAAUCAAGAACGAAAGUUAGGGGAUCGAAGGCGAUCAGAUACCGUCGUAGUCUUAACCAUAAACUAUGCCGACUAGGGAUCGGAUGAUGUUAUUUUUAAUGACUCAUUCGGCGCCUUACGGGAAAC